CAGUAGCCACGGGAAUACGUAGGUGGCAAGCGUUGUCCGGAAUUAUUGGGCGUAAAGCGCGCGCAGGCGGAUAGGUCAGUCUGUCUUAAAAGUUCGGGGCUUAACCCCGUGAUGGGAUGGAAACUGCCAAUCUAGAGUAUCGGAGAGGAAAGUGGAAUUCCUAGUGUAGCGGUGAAAUGCGUAGAUAUUAGGAAGAACACCAGUGGCGAAGGCGACUUUCUGGACGAAAACUGACGCUGAGGCGCGAAAGCGUGGGUAGCAAACAGGAUUAGAUACCCCUGUAGUCCCUGUCUCUUAUACA
rnacentral:rRNA from 1 species